UUUCAGAAACAAUAACAUAUCCCAUCAUGUUCCAUAUCUGAAUUUUUUUUUUAAGGUUUUAUGUAUUUAUACAAGAGAGACAGAGAGGCAGAGGCAUAGGCAGAGGGAGGAGCAGGUUCCCUGCAGGGAGCCUGACGUGGGACUCUAUCCCAGGACCCUGGGAUCAUGACCUAAGCCAAAGGCAGACACUCAACCACUGAGCCACCCAGGUGCCCCCCAUAUCUGAUUCUUGACAAAUAUUUGAGAAAUGACUUGGAGACAGGUUUCUAUUGGAUCACAGCCAGAGAAAGGCUUCAUGGAUAUGGAAACCAAGAUACGGAAGUUUUGUAUCUUAGGGACAUAGGCCACUAAGAUAGGAGUCUGACUUUUAUAUAGCACAGCUUAUGGACCAAAAUUUGCAUGGAAAUUUAAAAGCUAAAAAGUAGUAGCUUUCAUUCUUGGUUUUAUCCUUGAAUUUCAAGCUUAUGGAAAAAAAUAUAGCUUAUUUGAUAAUAUUUAUUAAAGCAUAGACCAAAGCUUAAGAAUGUGGGCUAGCUAUACACCAACAGAGGUGUAUGUUGGAUAGAAGAAUUCACUAAGAAUGAGAUAAACUGAAAAUGUUUCUAUACUGAAUGGAAAUGCCAGGUAAUGAGCAAAGGUUAUCAGUUAUUUCCCACUCUGGUUGCAAAAUACAUUCUUGAAGAAGCAUUCAGGGUGAACAAAAACAGUAAUGAAGCAAUGAUCCCAGCUUUUUGAUGCAGAGUAUAUGAGCUCUAAUAAGAGUACAUAUUCUGAUUCCAAAAGAGACUUAAUGGUGAUAACUUAUUGUCUAAUUUUAUUUACCCCUAGACCAUUGCAAAUUCUGCAUGCAGGCACAUCACAUGGAUUGCUACAUUAUUUAGGAGCCAAGAGUAAGAAAAAAGUAUGUGAGAUGAUAAAGGGUUUGGUGCUUUAGUUGAGUGACAUAGAUUUAUGGUAUGGAAUUUAUAAAGUGAAUUCGGUUAAGGGGACCCAGUUAGCAAGACUGAUUUUCUUUCAUUCAUUUGACACUGAGUUACAACUAUAUGUUCAACACUGUUCCAGACACAGCAGGAGGGUUGUGAGGUAUGGCUGAUUGUAUACUUCCGGAGUUGGGGAAGGUAAGGAAAAGGGGAGGUUUUCAAAAGAACUUUCAUAUGCUAAAGAGGACAAGAUAUUGGAGGCCUUGCCAUGGACAAGUGAAGGUUAUUUUUCCCUGUAGCAAGGCAUUAAGACAAUUGGGAGCUUCCUGGAGGAAGCCAGGCGUAUCCCACCUGGGAGGGGGUGGUGGUUUGCAGGGUGUCAGAUUGUGGUUUGUCUUCAGCUAGCCUUUUGGUCCCUCAUCACCACCCUGAGAUCACCACUGGAGCAGAAACCUAGAGUCAAUCUCAGCCCCUAACUGACUGAGGCACCCAGGCGCCCCUCAAAGACUGAAUGAGUAUACAAUCCAGUUAGAAAAGCAUGCUUCAUCUGAAAACAAAAAUAACAACACUGUCCGAUGUUAAAUGAAAACAGCUAUGAUUUAUGAUCUUUUUUUAUGAGCCAGGCAUGAUGCUAAGUGCUUUACAUUCAUCCCCUUGAUGUUAGCCACCCUAGGAGGUAGGUGCUAUUAUCCCCAUUUUACAGAUGAGAUUGAAUUUCAAACAGCUGUGAUGACAUGCUAACGCUCACAACACUUGUCAGUGGCAGAACCCUGAUUGGAAUCCGAAACCUAAGUUCUUACAAACAAAUUGUAUGGAAAUACAGAGAAUGGGGAGGGCUUUUAGGAGUGAAGAACUGAGUUGGCCCUUAAAGUAUAGGCUUCAGAUAGGGCGAGGAGGAGUGGCCUACUAGGUAAGGCAUAUAGCAAAUGCAUGGAAUCUAGCAGAAUAUUAUAUAAGCCGAGCCGCCCAGUGAAACAUUUAUUUUUUAAAAUUUAUUUGAGGGAUCCCUGGGUGGCGCAGCGGUUUGGCGCCUGCCUUUGGCCCAGGGCGCGAUCCUGGAGAUUCGGGAUCGAAUCCCACAUCAGGCUCCCAGUGCAUGGAGCCUGCUUCUCUCUCUGCCUCUCUCUCUCUCUCUCUGUGACUAUCAUAAAUGAAUAAAAAAUUAAAAAAAAAAUAAAAUUUAUUUGAGAGAGCGAGAGAAAGCAGGAGCAAGGGGAGGAGGGACGGGGGGGGGGGGGGGCAGAGGAGAAGCAGACUCCCUGCUGAGCAGGGAGCAGGACAGGGGCUUGGUUCCAGGACCCUAGGACCCUGAUCUGAGCUGAAGGCAGACGCUUCACCGACUGAACCACCCAGGCGCCCCAAGUGGGGCAGACCUUGUUGGAAAAUGAACAGUGGGUCAAAGAUUGAACUGUAGGCAAUUAGCCGCUGCAAAAAACUGUAAUGCCGAUAUCAAGUUGUAGGCCUGUAGGAGGUGAACUGCAGGCCUGACUUCCAAUGCGCUGAUCAGGGACAGGGGCUACAGGAGCCGGAGGGUGCAGCCGGGGGACCCUGCCCCGACCCCCCUUUUCCUUCCCUGAGGGGCCCCACAACUCGGCUUCUGCUCGGAGGCGGAGACGCUGCCAAAUACAGAAUUAAGAUCGCGGCUGGCGGCCGCGGUGGGCGGGCCUACUUCUCCCGCCUCGGGUGACGUCGAGCGCCCAUCCACGGGGCCUCCCGGCCGCUCGCGGAGGAGCCAGUGCUUUAUCUCCGACUCGGCGGGUUCCGCUCCGCGGCGGGGGCGGGGCCGGGGGCGGGGCCGGGGGCGGGGCCACGGGCGCUGUGCUGAGCUCAUCUCAGGGCCGGGCGGGGCCACAAGCGACAGUAUUAGGGGCGUUCCGAGGCUCCGGAGGAGGGGUCCCCUUACCUCGCUCUUCGGGCCCGGCUCCGUGGGUUCCGCUCC
rnacentral:lncRNA from 1 species